AGGUUAAAGUUUUUGGUCAAGGUAGUUUUUGAUGAAGUUGAAGUCCAAUCAACUUGAAACUAGUACACAUGUUCCUUAUGAUAUGAUCUUUCUAAUUUUAAAGCCAAAUUAAACUUUUGACCCCAAUUUCACGGUCCACUGAACAUAGAAAAUCAAAGUGCAUGUUUCAGGUUAAAGUUUUUAGUCAAGGUAGUUUUUGAUGAAG
rnacentral:lncRNA from 1 species